rnacentral:rRNA from 1 species
GGGACCUAAGCCGAGGCUAGAUUGCGUAGGCGAAUGGAAAGCAGUUUAAUAUUACUGCGCCACUAUAAUUUGUUUGAGAGAUGGAGGGACGCAGAAGGGUAUGUACGCAGACUGUUGGAUAUGUCUGUAUAAGCAUGUAGGAUGGAACCGCAGGAAAAUCCACGGUUUUAGAUCUGAGGUGUGAUGUAUAUUGCUUGUAAUGAGCGAGAAUGUACAAAUCCCACGCUGCCGAGAAAAGCUUCUAUUGAGAAUUAUAGUGCCCGUACCGUAAACCGACACAGGUGGUUAGGAUGAGAAAUCUAAGGCGUACAGGCUAACUCUCGCUAAGGAACUCUGCAAAAUGGCCCCGUAACUUCGGGAGAAGGGGUGCCAUUAAAGGUGAUAAGUACAAGCGACUUUGAGCCCUUGAUGGCCGCAGUGAAGAGAUUCGAGCAACUGUUUAGCAAAAACACAGGUCUAUGCUAAGCUGAAAGGCGACGUAUAUGGGCUGACACCUGCCCAGUGCCGGAAGGUUAAGAGGAGGGUUUAGCGACUCAAAUUGAAGCCCCGGUGAACGGCGGCCGUAACUAUAACGGUCCUAAGGUAGCGAAAUUCCUUGUCGGGUAAGUUCCGACCUGCACGAAUGGUGUAAUGACUCGAAUGCUGUCUUGGCGGGAGGCCUGGUGAAAUUGUACUACCGGUGAAGAUACCGGUUACCUACAGUAGGACGGAAAGACCCCGUGGAGCUUUACUAUAGCUUGGUAUUGGGUUGAGAUGUUAUGUGUAUAGGAUAGUUGGGAGACUGUGAUUAUGUGACGCUAGUUGCAUAUGAGUCGCUGGUGGAAUACCAACCAUAUAACAUUUUGAUUCUAAUUUGUGGUGUGUAACCAUGAAGACAGUGCUAGGUGGGUAGUUUGACUGGGGCGGUCGCCUCCGAAAGAGUAACGGAGGCGUUCAAAGGUUCCCUCAGGUUGGAUGGAAAUCAACCGAAGAGUGCAAUGGCAUAAGGGAGCUUGACUGUGAGAUAGACACAUCGAGCAGGCGCGAAAGCAGGACAUAGUGAUCCGGUGGUUCCGAAUGGAAGGGCCAUCGCUCAACGGAUAAAAGCUACCCCGGGGAUAACAGGCUGAUUUUGCCCGAGAGUCCAUAUCGACGGCAAAGUUUGGCACCUCGAUGUCGGCUCAUCGCAUCCUGGGGCUGGAGAAGGUCCCAAGGGUUGGGCUGUUCGCCCAUUAAAGCGGUACGUGAGCUGGGUUCAGAACGUCGUGAGACAGUUCGGUCCCUAUCCACUGUAGGCGUAAGAAUAUUGAUGAGAUCUGUCCUUAGUACGAGAGGACCGGGAUGGACAAACCUCUAAUGUACCAGUUGUCAUGCCAAUGGCAUAGCUGGGUAGUCACGUUUGGAAUGGAUAACCGCUGAAAGCAUCUAAGCGGGAAGCCAACUCAGAGAUAAGUAUUCUAUCAUUGAUAAGUCACCUUGGAGACUACGAGGUUGAUAGGUUGGGUGUGUAAGGGCUGUGAAGUCUUUAGCUGACCAAUACUAAUAUGACGAACACUUAA